rnacentral:misc_RNA from 1 species
UCGCGGCUUAUCACCGGCAGUCUCCUUAGAGUGCUCAACUGAAUGUAGCAACUAAUGGCAAGGGUUGCGCUCGUUGCGGGACUUAACCCAACAUCUCACGACACGAGCUGACGACAGCCAUGCAGCACCUGUGUCCAGGUUCCCUUUCGGGCACACCCCCAUCUCUGGAGGCUUCCUGGCAUGUCAAGGGUAGGUAAGGUUUUUCGCGUUGCAUCGAACUAAUCCACAUAAUCCACCGCUUGUGCGGGCCCCCGUCAAUUCCUUUGAGUUUCAAUCUUGCGGCCGUACUUCCCAGGCGGAAUACUUAAUGCGUUAGCUGCGGCACCGGCGGUAACCCGCCGACACUUAGUAUUCAUAGUUUAAGGCGUGGACUAC